rnacentral:lncRNA from 1 species
ACACUUUCCUGCUCGGGUGGGAAGUUCGCUUCCUCUGGAGGGCAAGGGGGUCUUCGGAGAGCUCGAGGGUGAGCACAACUUCGACCAUGGCGGGCUGAAGGUUCCGGCAAACACAACUCUAGUCUUCAGCUUGAUUCACUGAAAUUUGUCAAUGGAAUUGAUUCCAUGGGUAGCGGUGGGGCUAUGGGUGGCUAAGAUGGAGAGCGAGCGACUCAAGUGCACUAAAAUUGACCGGAGGGUGGCGGCGGGCGAUGCGGUCAGACAUGACGAGGACAGCCGGCUCCGGUUAAAUUGGUGCACUUGGCAGAUUGCUGAGGGUCUAG